AAAUUAAGCCUCACCUUCUGUCUUAGCAUCAAUUCUAAGACAGAAAAUGGCAGGUGUUUGGAAAUUGGGAUUAAGUAACUUGUCCAGAGUCACACAGGUAGGAAGUGUCUGAGGUCAGAUUUGAACCCAGGUUUUCCUGACUCUAGGCCUGGUGCUCUAUCUACUGUGUUACCUAGCUAUCCCCUACACCCAAAAUCUUUUCAAAUGAAGUUUAUACUUGCAAAAUUGACUCAAAGAUAUAAUUUUGGUAAUUUUGGUAUAUACCAGUCAAAGUACAAUCUAUCCAGUUGGUUUUAAUAGCUUUCACAAUCAGUAGUAGCCAGACAAUUCAUUCUAUAAAUGAUUUUUUUUUAUUCUAUGAAAACUUUUAAGCCAUCUGUGAAAGAGGAAUUGGAAAAGCAUGCAAAAGCCAGAAGCAGGGACUGAGUGGUGACCUGCCAAUCAAACCAAGGUUCCAUUUGGGAUGUUACAGGGAAACAGUUGAAGGCAAAAGCCAACUGUGGCUGAACUCUGAGGUCCUGUCUACUGCUGGUUGUCAUAUACAGGGAAGGAAGAGCUAAUUUAUCUCUUGGACUUGGAUAAUCUCUUUGGCUUGCUCUGUUUAUGAUAGUGACUAAACUGCCAGACCUAUCAAUCAUUUUUCUCAAGUUGAACUCUAUCCCAAUAUCCUCCAACUGGAGGCCAACCUGUAGUCUAGGGAAAUCCUUAACUCUCUUACCUCCAUUCUUCAUCUUUUCCUGUCUUCCCCAAAUAAACCCUUACUUAAGAUAAAAGAAGAUAAAGUAUUUUCAUUUGAGACACCACCAACUCACCCUGAGUGAAAGUAGGAAAGUAGGAAGAAAGAAGAAAAGGGGAAGGGAAGCAAAAGAGGCUGAAGAGGGAGGCUGGGAGAGAGGGAGGAAACAGGAGGAAGGGAGGUAUAGUGGGAGGAGGGAAAACAGAGAAGAAAGAGAUAUCUACCUGAUCUGUUAGCUAUCAAUUAACCAUCAAAUAUACCCCCUUAUUAUUAUCUAUUACACAUCCCUUUUUGGCUGAGUGCAUUUAAAAAAGUUUAUGUGUAGUUUUGGGAGAAGGGUGUGCAUGGCAGGGAAGAUCUCAGUUCCUCUGUAUAUCCAUUUACUAUUUUAGAAUUUAUAAGACAGUCAUUAUUUGCAUAUAUUCUUUCAGUUUCUUCUUUCACAGAGCUGAUAAGAUUUUAUAAACUUGCCAAGUUCAUAAAGAUCCAGAGGCUCUGGCCAAGUUCUCAUAGAACUUCAAUUAGUGAAACUUUUGAAGAUCUUUUGUACUUUUCCUAAACAUGAAGCAGUUGUUGUCAUUAUUUUUAUACGAACCAAAACAUGACCAUUUGAAUUACUAAGAUCAUCUUUAAUCAGAAGGUCACUGCCUUACAGAACAAAGCCUUUAAGAAGUGAAAGCUCAAAUUUAUAAUUUCACAGCACUUAAAUCAGCCAGAGAUAGUAGAGAAAAUGCUUUCAAAGUUUGGCAGUGAAAGGGAGGAGAGAUGUAAUAUAACUGGAUCAAAUGAAUGUUGUUGAAGGAUGAAAGUACCUGAGAGGUAAGCUCCUUCAGAGUAGGAAUUGUUUAGUGAUUUGUAUUUGUAUUUGUAUCUCUAGAACCACACAUACCCACACAAUAAUCAAAGGAUUAGAAUUUAAAGAUGGAUGGUAGACAUUUAAUAAAUGUUUGUAGUCUGUGAAAAAGAAAUUGAAAAAAGAAAAAGAAAGUCAGCUUACUAGUGAGAGAAAAGCUGACUGAUUCUGAAAGGAGUGCAAGAUCAUAGGAGAAAUGAGAGAGGAUGAGAUCAAAUAUAGUGGUUCACCUUAGCAAGGAGAAGAGCCAGGUUUCCCUCAGGGAAUGGAGAAAAGGAGGAUAAGAAAGGUGGAGAUAUAGAGGGAAUGCGGUAUAGGGGGGAAAGAGAGAGAACACACAAUGGAUAGUUUCAGUUUUCUGAGCAAAGUAGAAAACAAGGUCAUUCAUACACAAAAGUGUGGAAGUGGUAUUGGGGGGUUGAAGAGAGAUGAAAUGGAUUAGGAAUUGCUGUUGGGGGUCAUGUUAGAGUGAACUGGAAAGGACUAAAGAAUUGAUGUACAGCAUCAAGGGCCAAACAGAUUAGAUUUAGAAUUAGGAUUGGUUCUGUGAUUUCAGGAAUUCCUAAAUCAGGCAGUUCCUUUUACCAAUGCAGAUCAGUAGCUACCUUACAAUUGAAAGUUACUCCUACUGUGGCUUAGAGACCCUGAAAGUUUAAGUGAUUUGGUCAGUCACAUAAUCAAUGUAAUUAGAUAAGAAACAUUUUGUGAUGGACUUGGUCUGCAAGUUUCAAUUAUUUUCUCAUACCACAUUCUAGGCUCUGAUGGCAUGAUUCCCUUUGUCAUUCCACAUUCUUCUCACAGGUAUUUCUCAGUACUGCUCUCUCUCUACUUUCUAACCUCUGAAGUCUAUUACAAGACCUUUUUUUGUUUGCUUUUGCUUCCAGGAGGUAGCCCCAGGUGUUAUUUCCUAAUCUUUAGAAUAAAACCUACUUGAAAUGGAGGAACCCUUAAGUCUUGUCCUUUUCUGUAUGAUGUCUAUCACCCUUGGGAACAUUUCUCACUUAUUCAAGAGCCAACAGGGCAAUCCUUUCUUCCUUUAAACCAUUGACUUUGAUUUUUCAAAUUCCCCAGCUCUGUCAAAAUUCUAUCUUGGAUGUAGGGAAUAGCUGAUGGAUGAUGAAUCUGGAAAGGAGACUGAGAAGGAUCAGUCAGACAGAUAUCCAUGUCCUUGGGCUAACAAUAUUUGACCAGACCAAGUCACUGGAAGGAAGGAAAGAGCCAGUAUCUGACACAUGUAAUACUCUAUUUGAUAAUGAUAAUAGUAAUGUUAAUCACUGACAUUUACAUAGCUCUUUAAUGUUUGUAGAAUGCUUUACAUAUUUUGGGUCUUCUCAUCUUCUCUAGUCCUUACAAAUGGACAAAAUGAAUUAAGUGCUAUUAUUAUCUCCAUUGUAUAGAUGAAGAAACUAAAGUUGAUAGACCCUAAGUGGCUUGUCCAGAGUCACAUGGGUAAAAGGUGUCUGAAGCAAGGUGCAAAUUCAGGUCUUCAUCCAUUAUACCCACUUUCUACCUUAUUGGAUUACAAACUCCAUGAGAGCAGAGAUGGGUUCUUCUUUAAAGCUCAUUUUUCAUUCAUUGCCUAGCACAAUGCUGUGUACAGAGUAGGAACUUAGUAGUUUCCAGUUGAACUAAAGGACCCAAUUGAAUGACUAAACCCCUAUUAUUUGACAGUGAUAACUAUUUUUUCUUUUAAGUGUUUACAAAUCAUGCAUUUAAAAAUACAUUAGGCAUUUUCAUUAAGAAUCAGUCAAGCUCACCCUACUAUAAUUUUGAAGAAUCAGUCUUCUCCCAUUUAAAAAAAAUACAAGCAAGUAAUUGCUGUGGAUUCCAAAAUCACCUAAGGUGGAGGCAACUAUGUGGGAAAUUCUGGAAGGCAACAUCUGAUGUUCUUCUUUCAAGUGGGUGGGAACAGUAUCUUUGUAUUGGCUGCAUAGCUAGAAUAGGCUUCAGACUUCUGGAUAGGGAAUAAAUUAGAAGCCUUUCCUAUAAGGUCAGGAGUGAAACAAGGAUGCCCAUUAUUUUUAUUUUUCUCUCUUUUUUAUUUUUAUUUUUCUCUAUUGUUUUUUUCUUUUUGCAUCCAAGGGAUAAAGAUCUUGUUCGCACCCAUCACUGGCACCCAAAAACUGGGUAGGAAGAAGGGCUACUUUCCUCUUCUAUCUCUUUUAGUCCCAUGUGGUCCUGAGAACUGGGCUUGUGGUUUGGUCUGUUUUGCCUAUCCUUUUCAGAUUAAGUGCAUGUGAUGAUGUCCCUAGACCUGGACUUGAACCAUGGUGACCUUGGAGCCAGGAUCUCAGAUUGGAUAAUGCUGCUGACCCAGGAGGGAAGGUCUGAGAACUCAAGGGGUAAGCCCAGAGGAGGGUUUGGACUUGGAAUUUGGUGGGACAAUGCUAUAUAACAACUGAAUUAGUCCAUGAAUAUAAUCUUUGUCCACUCUCCAGAGACUGAGGUCAUGUAAGGGGAAGAUUAUGCCUCCUCCUCAAAACUUGGGGGGUAAAUAUUUUAUUUGUUGUAUACUUUGAAGCAAAUAUUCCUUUGUAGGAGCUCAUCUGACUCUUCAGUGGUUAAAUGGGACUAGGUUGCUGGGGAACUUUUCAAAUUGGAGGAUCUCAUUGGUCAGGGCUUGAGCCAAUGGUAGAGAUACUAGAUACCUCACAAGUGCCUUAAGAAUACUAGAGAACCUGUGAGUGUGUGUGUGUGUGUGUGUGUGUGUGUGUGUGUGUGUGUGUGUGUGUGAGAGAGAGAGAGAGAGAGAGAGAGAGAGAGAGAGAGAGAGAGAGAGAGAGAGAGAGAAGAGAGGGAGAGUGAAAUGUAACACAGCCAACCUUGAUGGGGGAAGAGGGGGAUAGUUGCUAUUACAUAACAUUUGCCCAUCUUAAGUCUUCCAGGAUUUCCCCAGUUCUUCUGGAUCUGAUGAACUAACAGAUUCCUGACCAAGAGGUGAUGAAUCAAAUAUACAGUUUGAGGCAAACAUUUCUAGAUUUGGCCAGUGUGGUAGAGGCAUGCAUGCAAAGGACAAAAGCUGGAGAUGGAUCAUCUGUCAGUCAAAUGAAGAUUCCAUUUGGAAUGUUACUGGGAAAUAGUUGGAGGCGAGAGUCAACUGCUUGACUGAAUUUGAAGGUCUUUUGGCUUUCUGGCUUGCUGAAGGAAGAAGCUAUUUUUAUCUCUGGGACUUGAGAUAAUCAAGUUGGAGGUGGCCUGGCUGAUUUGAAGGAAGGAGAAGUAGGACAAUAGUCCUUAUAUCUCUUUCUGACUGGUUCUGCUUCAUGCUAGUGACUGAAUUGCCAUUUCUCUCAAUAUCCUCCAAUCCAACAUUCACUGUAGAGAAUAGGGAUAUCCCACCCCUCUUACCUUAUCCUCCACCUUUGUCCUAUCUUCCCCAAAUAAACCCCUUGUUUGACAAAGAAGAUUAAGAACUAUUUCAUUGAAACCUCACAGUUCACACUGAGUGACUUGAAGGAGACUGGAGAAGGGGGGAGGGAAGACUGAAAGGCUUCUGGAGAGGGAGGUAUGAAAGGGAGGAGGGUAGGCAAAAAGAAGAUAACUAUCUGAUCCAUUAGUUAUCUAGUAUCCAUCAAAUAUACCCUCAAAUAUCAUCUAUUACACCAGUGUGAGAAUUUUUUUUGUGUGUUUAACUAUGAAUAUUUGUAACAAGUGUUUUGUUUUCUCUUUCUUUUUUUCAACUUGAGGGGGAUGAGAGGGAGAGGAAAUAAAAAUUGUAAAAUAAAAGUAAAAA